rnacentral:lncRNA from 1 species
CGAUCAAUAAACCCUUGCUAAAUCUGAAAAAAACUUAAAAAUAUAGGAGUAGGAAAACAAAUCACUCAGAGUUCUGAUAAGCUCUGUGAUACUAACUUUAAAUGUCUGCGUGUUGAUCAAUGUGAUGUCCUGGAGUAUAGCCUAAUAAUCAAAUCAAACGCUGUUAGCCUUGAAGAUAUCAACCCGAAAUUUGUUAAAAUACUGGAUCUAUCAAAAUUAUACAGUUGCAAAAUGGUAAUAAAUGAUAAACACUUUCCCUCACGCUGUCAAAAACUUUAGAUUACAUUAU